CCUACGGGAGGCUGCAGUGGGGAAUAUUGCACAAUGGGCGCAAGCCUGAUGCAGCCAUGCCGCAUGUGUGAAGAAGGCCUUCGGGUUGUAAAGCACUUUCAGCGGGGAGGAAGGCGGUGAGGUUAAUAACCUCAUCGAUUGACGUUACCCGCAGAAGAAGCACCGGCUAACUCCGUGCCAGCAGCCGCGGUAAUACGGAGGGUGCGAGCGUUAAUCGGAAUUACUGGGCGUAAAGCGCACGCAGGCGGUCUGUCAAGUCGGAUGUGAAAUCCCCGGGCUCAACCUGGGAACUGCAUUCGAAACUGGCAGGCUAGAGUCUUGUAGAGGGGGGUAGAAUUCCAGGUGUAGCGGUGAAAUGCGUAGAGAUCUGGAGGAAUACCGGUGGCGAAGGCGGCCCCCUGGACAAAGACUGACGCUCAGGUGCGAAAGCGUGGGGAGCAAACAGGAUUAGAUACCCGGGUAGUC
rnacentral:rRNA from 1 species